AGAGUUUGAUCCUGGCUCAGGACGAACGCUGGCGGCGUGCCUAAUACAUGCAAGUAGAACGCUGAAGACUUUAGCUUGCUAGAGUUGGAAGAGUUGCGAACGGGUGAGUAACGCGUAGGUAACCUGCCUACUAGCGGGGGAUAACUAUUGGAAACGAUAGCUAAUACCGCAUAAUAGUGUUUAACACAUGUUAGAUGCUUGAAAGAUGCAAUUGCAUCACUAGUAGAUGGACCUGCGUUGUAUUAGCUAGUUGGUGGGGUACGGCCUACCAAGGCGACGAUACAUAACCGACCUGAGAGGGUGAUCGGCCACACUGGGACUGAGACACGGCCCAGACUCCUACGGGAGGCAGCAGUAGGGAAUCUUCGGCAAUGGGGGCAACCCUGACCGAGCAACGCCGCGUGAGUGAAGAAGGUUUUCGGAUCGUUAAAGCUCUGUUGUAAGAAGAAGAACGUGUGUGUAGAGUUGGAAAGUUCACACAGUGAUCGGGUAACUUCACCAGAAAGGGACGGCUAACUACGUGCCAGCAGCCGCGGUAAU
rnacentral:rRNA from 1 species